rnacentral:lncRNA from 1 species
UUUUAUUCUUUUUUUUUAAUUAUUUUUUCAUUUAAUAACUUUCUCUUUUUUUCUAUUGUUUUGAAUUUUUCUUUUGCUGAUUUUUUGUAUUAAUUUUUUUUUUUAUUAUUCAUUCUUCUAAAGAUUGAUUGAUAGACAUUAAAUAAAAUUCAGAUUAUUAACUAGAACUAAAACAUGUACACACUCAUUUAUAAUUUGACAUUUUAAAAUGGGUAAUAGCCGAAAAAUACAUAGAAUUUUUUUCAUUUUCUGAUUUAUAUCAUCACCUUUUA